GAUGAACGCUGGCGGCGUGCUUAACACAUGCAAGUCGAACGGAAAGGCUCCUGCUUGCAGGGGUUCUCGAGUGGCGAACGGGUGAGUAACACGUGGGUGAUCUGCCCUGCACUUCGGGAUAAGCCUGGGAAACUGGGUCUAAUACCGGAUAGGACCACAUUUUGGAUGGUGUGGUGGAGAGUUUUUCGGUGUGGGAUGAGCUCUGGGCCUAUCAGCUUGUUGGUGGGGUAAUGGCCUACCAAGGCGUCGACGGGUAGCCGGCCUGAGAGGGUGUACGGCCACAUUGGGACUGAGGUACGGCCCAGACGCCUACGGGAGGCAGCGGUGGGGAACAUGGCACAAUGGGCGCAAGCCUGAUGCAGAGACGCCGGGUGGGGGAAGACGGCCUUCGGGUUGUAAACUCCUUUCGCUAGGGACGAAGCGCAAGUGACGGUACCUGGAGAAGAAGCACCGGCUAACUACGUG
rnacentral:rRNA from 1 species